rnacentral:rRNA from 1 species
UACGAGAGGGGUAAGCGUUAUUCAUAAUGAAUGGGUCUAAAGGGUAAGUAGGCGGUUUUAUAAGAUUAAAUGGUACCAAACCAAAAAGAAGAAAGAGCUAUUUGAUUACUAUAAAACUAGAAUGUAAUGGAAGAAAAAGGAACUCCAAGAGUAGGGAUGGAAUCUGUUGAUCCUUGGAAGACCGCUAAAGGUGAAGACAUUUUUCUAAGUAUACAUUGACGCUGAGAUACGAAAGUAUGGGGAGCAAAACGG